GUAGUCAUAUGCUUGUCUCAAAGAUUAAGCCAUGCAUGUCUAAGUAUAAGCAAUUUAUACAGUGAAACUGCGAAUGGCUCAUUAAAUCAGUUAUCGUUUAUUUGAUAGUUCCUUUACUACAUGGUAUAACUGUGGUAAUUCUAGAGCUAAUACAUGCUUAAAAUCUCGACCCUUUGGCAGAGAUGUAUUUAUUAGAUAAAAAAUCAAUGUCUUCGGACUCUUGGAUGAUUCAUAAUAACUCUUCGAAUCGCAUGGCCUUGUGCUGGCGAUGGUUCAUUCAAAUUUCUGCCCUAUCAACUUUCGAUGGUAGGAUAGUGGCCUACCAUGGUUUCAACGGGUAACGGGGAAU
rnacentral:rRNA from 1 species